rnacentral:tRNA from 1 species
GAGGGUGUGGCUCAGUGGCAGAGCACAUGCUUAGUAUGCACGAGGUCCUGGGUUCAAUCCCCAGUACUUCCA